rnacentral:rRNA from 1 species
ACGGCGAGUGAAGCGGGAAGAGCUCAAAUUUGAAAUCUAGUAGCCUUCGGCUGCUCGAGUUGUAAUCUAGAGAAGUGUUUUCCGUGCCGGCCCAUGUACAAGUCCCUUGGAACAGGGCGUCAUAGAGGGUGAGAAUCCCGUCCUUGACAUGGACCCCCGGUGCUCUGUGAUACACUUUCAACGAGUCGAGUUGUUUGGGAAUGCAGCUCAAAAUGGGUGGUGAAUUCCAUCUAAAGCUAAAUAUUGGCGAGAGACCGAUAGCGAACAAGUACCGUGAGGGAAAGAUGAAAAGCACUUUGGAAAGAGAGUUAAACAGUACGUGAAAUUGUUGAAAGGGAAACGAUUGAAGUCAGUCAUGCUCUUUGGUAUUUAUAUCAUUGAGUGGGGUCAACAUCAGUUUUGAUCGAUGGAUAAAGGCACUAGGAAGGUAGCACUCUCGGGUGAACUUAUAGCCUGGCGUCAUAUACAUUGAUUGGGACUGAGGAACGCAGCAUGCCUUUAUGGCCGGGAUUCGUCCACGUACAUGCUUAGGAUGUUGACAUAAUGGCUUUAAACGACCCGUCUUGA